GCCAGCUUAGCUGCUGGGACCAGAGGGCAGUUAGGCGCGGCUGGGGAGGUUGGGGACUGCGGCUACGGCUGGGCGGAGAGUGUGCUGGGCCUUCGCUUUCCCGGACUUGCAGUCUCCUCUUCUCCCUCCCCAGUCCGGCCCUCCCUCCUCACCGCAGCAGCCGCCACCUGGAGCCUCGCACAAAGCAGGGUGGAUGCUCGCCCCUUUGAGCUGCUGCCUGCGUGCCUUGUGCGCUGCCUGCGCCUUGAUCACCCAGACCACUGCACCUCAGAAACGUCUCUGCCUGGCCCGCCUGUAGGGAACCAGAGCCAGACUCCUAGAAGGCUUCCUGUAUAGCCCUUGUCUACAUGUCCUCCCUACUUCUUGUGGACUCUGGCUUCGGACCCACAUCACUCAACAGGGAAUGGCUGUCUCCAGUGGUGUGAUUUUGCCCAGCAGUGUUCAUCAGUGGCGGAGAUUUAGGGGAUAUUUCUACAUGGGGACGGAGAUCCAGGAGCUGAUGAGGAGAUCCAUGGACAGGAGACUGAAGGAAGCCCUUAGAAGGACAAGGGAGCUGUUUGGACACCAGAAGAGCCUUCACAUUUUCCAGUAUUGUGGAAUCGGUUUCCAGAGUGUUUCCGUUUCCUGUGAUAAAAGAAGGGUGUUUCCAAGACUCAAGCAGCUGGACAUCCCCUAACAUGUCAGGCAGGAACCUUGCAGAUAAGUAUGACAAACUUACCAGCCUCCUCUCUCUAGUCUUUUUGGCUCUGAGAAAGGCUAGCGUGGGAUAGGUGCUUAAUAAAUGUUCAUGUUGAGUGGAAUUGAAUAGAACAUAGAGAAGGCAGAAUCAUAGGCUUUUGGGUCAGGAAGGAAACUUGAGAGGUCAUCUCCAUUGCUCUGCCUCUAGGUGGCACUUCUGAGAGAUGAGAGACCAUUUCCGUUGUUUUUCAGGGUCCCAGAGGACCUGGUCCAACUCUCCUUCUGGGCUCUCUUUAGCUCCAAGCUCAGUUUCUCAUGCUGGGUCAAAAGUAUUGAGAUCCCUUUUGGUCUUGGGGCGUGGAAGCCGAGUAACCCUGCUGACUGGGGUUCUUAUACUCUUACUUCCUCUGUGACUUUGGUCAAACCCUGAGGAUUUGAUAUCACUUUCCUUAUAUGCACCAAAUACUGCUACCCAACAUACACUUUAUGUAAACCUUUAGGUAAAAGUCUUCUUAUUUUGGCUUUGCAUACAAUGUAGCACAAUGUCUGUGGCAAAUAACAAUACAGGCUAUAUCUGGACCUCAGUUUCCUUAUCUGUAACAUGAGGCAGUUGGACUAGAUGACCUUUAAAAUCCUUUCCAGUUCUAGAACUCUGAUGAUCAUAACCAAAUAUACUUGUUCCUGAGACUAGAUUCAGGACAGAAUCCCCACUCUCCUUCUCAGCUGUGUAACCAGGAACCAUGGGGCAUCUUGGGGGAAUAGAAGCUUGUAUAUAGCCUGGCCCCUCUGAUCUGCUUUUCACACAGACUUAGAGCUUUCUUAGAUUCUGUUGCAAUGUGAGAAGGAUGCAUAGAAUUAUAGGCUGUCAGAGCUGGGAGUCAUCUUAGAUUACAGAAUGUGAGAUCUGGGAUGUCAGGGCAGGGAGGACCCUUAGAACAAAGAAUGUCAGAGUUAGGAAGGCAUGUAAAACAAAGAAUGUAGGCCAGAGCCAGAAAGAGCCCUAAAAUGUAGAAUGCUAGAGCAUAGGCCAUAUAACAUUGGAGCUGGGAGGGACCUCUCUGGGCAUCCAGUUCGACCUCAUUUUUUUUAAACAACGAAAAUGUUAUUUUUGCCCUAUGGAUUGGAAACAGUUAGAAACAGAAUCAGGUUAACCUACAGGUCCAUGUAAAUUACAAUAAUUCCUUAUAAAUAAAUUGAAAAUAUGUAUGAAUUUCCAAAGAAAUGGCUGAUUUCAUAGAGACAGCUUUUAAACCUAGUUCUUUAUGGUCCUUAACAGGAAUUGCUUUAUUUAAAACUGGCUCACAGUGAGGUUCACGUGAACCAUAGGGGUAAAUACUCUCCAAAGCACAGUGAGGCUGACAGGAUAGUAUGCUUACCAGCACGUUCCUUGUGACUACAAGAAAUACUUAAUACCAGCCAUUAUUCAGUGAAAUGAAAACAACAUAAGAUGAAUGUAAAAGACACCUGUCCGUGAACAGAAUCUGUUGGUCACUGCCUUUUUUUUUCUUAACCAGGCCAAUCCUGUAGUUUUACAGUUUCGGAAAAUAGCCCCAGGCAUGCAAAAUGACUUGCUACAGAUUGCAUAGUAAAUUAUUGACAGGACUGGAACCAGAGCCCAGUCCUUCUGAAUUUUUCAUUCCCAAUUCCACAGAUAAGUCCCAUUUCUUUGACUUUGUAUUCCCUGGGUAGCAAUCCUCUCUUCCAUUCUCACUGCCUGACUGGCCCCUAGACUUUACAGGCUGGAGGGUUUGUUUCUAGUGAUUCGGAGCAGGAAGAGGAAGAGCCACUCAGUUCAGUGUCCAGGGGCUCAGAUCAUUAUUGCUCCCUCCACAUUUUGAAAAAGCACCCAAAGAGUGGGUUUAGCCUUCCCCUUCCAGGCCCAGUGCCAUUGUCCUCUGAGGAUAUCUCCUUUUCCCACAGGUCUACAGUAGAGAUUGAGGGUAACUCCACUGCUUGGCAUAUGAGUCAAUUAGUAAAAUCUUACUGACCAACUACAUAGCUCACAGGAUGCUGAAAAAAAGGAGACGUCUCCAGGAGUCACCCCUCCGACCCACUUAGCCUGAGCAUUUUUGUGGGGAAAGGAGUGAGGGAAAUAUUGGUCCCCUCCAGAGCAGACCAGCCAGUUCUGUAGGGGAUUCAUGAAGGAUCAUGUAGGAGUUGCCUCUGUCAGCAUGCCAGUUACUUCCAAGCCACUAAGGCAAAAAGAGGAGUCACUAUCCAUCAUUCUACCUCCAGCUUCCAUUUGGGGACCUUUUUUUUUUAAUCCCUGCAGAGCUGACCUCAGUGUUCAUUGUUAUCUGAUUUUACCUGGAUAAAUAUGUUGGGUGAUAAGAUUAGCAGCUUUGGCUGGGUUUUAAAAGACCAGGACCCCCAACUGCUCACUAUGUACCUCUGGAGUCCUAUACGGCCAAGGAACAUUCUCAAUCUUGGCACCUGAUCACACUCCAUACCCUUUAAGGAUGGCCUUAGUGGGUUCUCCUUCCACUUUCAGAGAAUUAUUAUCUUCAUGACUUUGUGAUUAUCUUUGGAUGACCCAAGGCUGGGCAGUUUCAUACCUUUCAAAUCAUCUCUAAUGGUUUAGAGUCUCAGGUUGUAAAUGCAACAGUGAUGUGGUCUCAGGAAGGUCUUAUCUUUGUGGACUCACUGUGAGGAGGCUUGUCUUUAGCUAUUAUGGAGGUAUCAAGCAAAGUCAGAUUUAUUCCCUAAAGGAAAAAAAAACCCACAGACACCUGCAAAACCAUGUGAAUGGUAAAGGUAACUGACAUUUGUGUGGCUCUUUGAGAUUUUUCUAAGUGUUUCUUACACUUUAUCUCAUUGGAGUAUGACAACAACCCUAGGAAGCUCAUACACUACAAGAAUUCCUAUCUCCAUCUUAGAGAUUAGGAAACUGAGGCUGGCCAUAUAGUUAGGAAGUAUUGGAGGUAGGAUUUGAACCAAAGUCUACCUGACCCCAAGUCCAAUACUCAAGCCACCACACCAAGUUAUGUAUCCCAAGAGCAAAGGUACUGGGAGGGACAUACCUAGAGAGAUUCUUACCAGGAAAGUUUCUGUUCAUUUCAUCAAUGCACCUUUACCAAAUCUAGGGGCUCAGUUGAGUCUGAGAUGCUCUCUGCAAGGAACCAAAUCUUCCCAAAGCUCCAAAAGAGAAUGCCUGGUAGUGUAUUUUAAUCUUUACAUGGCGGUAUGUUGGUUGUUUCUGUUGCUGAUAUUGGUAUUGCUUUUAUUAUUGUUGUUGUUGUUUUGGUUAUUAAGCUCGCUUAUAAAGCCUUCCCUUGUCCAUAGUGACCGCUGCUGCUUUUCGCUGUCCCCGACCAUAGUGCUGAAGUAGUUCCCUGCUCCUUGGCUUUCCCUGGCCAUGGUGCUGACAGUAAUAUCAACUUCUAUCUCUUCAUAGAAGCUCUGGCCCUUGGUGUCUGUGUGGUGGUGUGGGGGAUGGAUGUGAGAUGGCACUUGAUUAGACUCUAGAAUCCUUAGGGUUCCUGGGAUUUCUCACUAGCUAAAAGACCCUGGGAUUGGGGAGGGAUCUUGUUUUCUUCUGCUGCUUUGCUCGGUUGUCUUCUCUUCCAGCCACUAAGGACCCAACCUGGACAGUUCACAAGCCCAUCCAGGGUCUGGAGCCUCAGAAAUGCCUGUCUUGAUUCUUUCUUGCUGUCAGCCAGUUGAUUGGACACCUCCAGAGCAGCUGUGCACACAAAUGUCUACCUGUUCCGGACUCCAGUGGCUGCUACAUCCUGACUCUUCCCCCCCGAGAAGUGACCGGCCUUGUCCAGAGUUCCAUCUCCAAGUCCCAGAUGGAAGAUACUGAGCCUGGCCCGACGGACUCUUCUUCUCAGGACCUCCCCACCACCCUGUCCUUUUCCCACCCAGCAGAGUGAGUGCCAGAGCUCAGAGAAUGCUGAAAGAGCUCUGCGUUUAGAGUUGGAUGACAUGGGUUUCAAUCCUGGCCCUGCUACUUCUACUUACGUGAAUUCUGACAAGCCACUUCACCUCUCUGGGCCUCAGUUUCCCCCUGUGUAAAAUGGGAAGGGUUGGACCUCAGAAGACCCUUUCCAUACUAGAUUUAUGACCCAAGGGUCUAUUAAUGAGUUCCUGCCUUGGCUGCCAUCCCACAGAGAAUGAUGGUCUCUGUGAUCCAGAACAAUGCUGCCUACAGAGACAGAGCCCCAGGUAAAGGCACAUGUAUGGGGCUCUGGGGAAGACAUCCAGCAUGGCUUGGCUACCUACCCGGGGGAUGUUUAGAGCCUGCAGGGAGACUUUCCUUCUCAUCAAUCCUGGCCUCUUCUACAUGAGGUGCAGUGGGGUGAACUCUGACUAACUCAGGGUCAAGCUUAAGGAUUCUCCAGCCUAGGGAAGGGCAUGAUAUAUAGCAAAGACCACUGGAUUUGGCAUCAGAAGACCUGGGUUAGAACUCAGGUUGUGUUAGGAGCUAUGCAGCCUUGGGAAGUGCCUUCAACUCUCUGGCCUUGGUUUCCUCACCUGUAAAAGGAGGGGGUUGGACUAGAUGGUCUUUACAGGUGUUUUUAACUCUAAGCCUGAUGCUUCUUUGCCAAUCCCUACCAAGUAGUGCUUCCCCCUUCCCCUCCUACUAGGGCACCCAGCCUGUGGCCAAAACCAUUCUCUCAAUAAUGCCUUCCCUAACUCCACUUCGAAAGGCCCCUUCAGGAGGGAAUAGGAAUGCAAAAUUGGAAGAGGGAAGUCUCAAGGGGGAGUGGUGGGAGAAGUGCGGGGAGCUUGGAUUCCUAGAUAGAGACCUUUCUGUUUCCCAUCCUUCACUGUUCAAUCAUUCCUCAGAGGCAUCACUUUUUUGGAGGGUUGGUGGGAUCCCCCAGAAUCACUGGGGAAGAAUCUGCCCCCCUUCAUUGGAGGAGGGCUGGUGGAGGGGAGGAAGGAAUGUUUUGCAGGUGAAAUGAAUGCAGACCAAUUUUUUUCCCCCUGUGAGUGGGUAGAACAAUAUUCCAGAACAGCGUGACUUUGGAGACCUCCAGGUUUUCUAGUCCAGAUCUUGGGCCAAGGCCCUGCUUUGCUCGGCCAGGGGACAGGUGCCCAGCAGUCAGAAGGGAAAGUGAGUGAAAUGUGGUACCUGAGUAAGAUUGCCCUCCCCCAAUUCCCUGGAUGCGCCCAUUGACCAAGGGUCAUGCCCAAUAGGAUAAGUAUUGGGAAGAGGUGGCUAGGGUCCAAUUCGGUCAUCCAUCAAAUCAUAGCUGAGAUGAUGACAGAUCUCACCUUGACCCCUCUGCCUCCUGAUUUUCCUUUCUGACAGCUGUCGUCCUGUCAUUGCAAAGUUCUUCCUAUUGGUGGGAGGAAGGCAAGCAGGAGAGAGACCCUGAACUGGGUGCACAGCUGGGGGUCCUUGGACCAAGUACUUGACCUGUAGGGUCCAUUGAUUUAUCUGCAAAAUAAGGGUAGUGAGGUCUCACCUUCUGGAAGGCAGGGGAUUGGAUUAGAUGACCUAAUGAGAUUCCUUCCUCCUACAGUCUCUGUGGCUUCAAGACCUCUGGUGGUGGGAGAUGGUCUGGUGCAAACUUGGAAACAGCAGCUGCUUUAAGAAUCAUGCCCUGUCACUGCAGGUCAAGUACAGGCUGUAUUGCUACCUUCUAGGUCUAUAUACCCUUGUCACUAGGUAGGAGAUGGGGCUGCAGGUGCUUAAGGCCAUUAGCAAUGACCUCAUUGGGGUAGAUGCCAUUGACCUUUCAGCCCUUAACUAUGACAGGACUGUGGAGGGAGUAGUUUUGGAGAGGGUUUGGUUAUGUUCUAUGAUCUCCUAGAAGGGGUUGGGACAUGACCCAGAGGGUCCCCACUCCUGUAGUGUAGUGGAUAUGGAGUUCAAAGAGCUGAGUUCAUUUCCCACCUUCAUUGCUUGUUCUCUGUGUGACCUUGGGCAAGUCACUUAACUUGAGCCUUAGCUUUUUCAUCUAUAAAAUGAUGAAGUUGGACCCAAUGACCUCUGAAACACUUCCAACCCUAAAUCUAUGAUCAUGUAAUAAGUCAUUAAGAAUGUCUCUCUUCUGUGAGUUCAAAUGACUUCUUUUGAAAACUAUCUGCUUAGCAUAUUCCACCUCUUAGAGUUCAUGAGUCGGUAAGAACCAUGGUCUAGACUGUGAAAAGCCCUUGUGUGGAAGAUCUGGAUUCUAGCUCCAGCUUGGCUGCAAAUUGUCUGUGUGAACUUGAGCAAGUCAUGGCACCUCUCUGAGCCUCAGUUUCCUUUUCUGCACAGUUAGGGCAAUGGGCAAGAUGACCUGUAAGCUACAAUGUUCCUAAAACUACUCUUUUGGAGACUUGAAAA